AACGAACGCUGGCGGCAUGCCUAACACAUGCAAGUCGAACGAGACCUUCGGGUCUAGUGGCGCACGGGUGCGUAACGCGUGGGAAUCUGCCCUUGGGUUCGGAAUAACAGUUAGAAAUGACUGCUAAUACCGGAUAAUGUCUUCGGACCAAAGAUUUAUCGCCCAGGGAUGAGCCCGCGUAGGAUUAGCUAGUUGGUGAGGUAAAGGCUCACCAAGGCGACGAUCCUUAGCUGGUCUGAGAGGAUGAUCAGCCACACUGGGACUGAGACACGGCCCAGACUCCUACGGGAGGCAGCAGUGGGGAAUAUUGGACAAUGGGCGAAAGCCUGAUCCAGCAAUGCCGCGUGAGUGAUGAAGGCCUUAGGGUUGUAAAGCUCUUUUACCCGGGAUGAUAAUGAC
rnacentral:rRNA from 1 species